GGGGUUGUGGCUCAGUGGUUAGAGCCCUUGCUUAGCACGUGUGAGGCACUGAGUUUGAUUCUCAGCACCA
rfam:Ictidomys tridecemlineatus contig048859, whole genome shotgun sequence.